rnacentral:rRNA from 1 species
CCCAGACCGCCAGCUAAGGUCCCAAAGUCAUGGUUAAGUGGGAAACGAUGUGGGAAGGCCCAGACAGCCAGGAUGUUGGCUUAGAAGCAGCCAUCAUUUAAAGAAAGCGUAAUAGCUCACUGGUCGAGUCGGCCUGCGCGGAAGAUGUAACGGGGCUAAACCAUGCACCGAAGCUGCGGCAGCGACGCUUAUGCGUUGUUGGGUAGGGGAGCGUUCUGUAAGCCUGCGAAGGUGUACUGUGAGGUAUGCUGGAGGUAUCAGAAGUGCGAAUGCUGACAUAAGUAACGAUAAAGCGGGUGAAAAGCCCGCUCGCCGGAAGACCAAGGGUUCCUGUCCAACGUUAAUCGGGGCAGGGUGAGUCGACCCCUAAGGCGAGGCCGAAAGGCGUAGUCGAUGGGAAACAGGUUAAUAUUCCUGUACUUGGUGUUACUGCGAAGGGGGGACGGAGAAGGCUAUGUUGGCCGGGCGACGGUUGUCCCGGUUUAAGCGUGUAGGCUGGUUUUCCAGGCAAAUCCGGAAAAUCAAGGCUGAGGCGUGAUGACGAGGCACUACGGUGCUGAAGCAACAAAUGCCCUGCUUCCAGGAAAAGCCUCUAAGCAUCAGGUAACAUCAAAUCGUACCCCAAACCGACACAGGUGGUCAGGUAGAGAAUACCAAGGCGCUUGAGAGAACUCGGGUGAAGGAACUAGGCAAAAUGGUGCCGUAACUUCGGGAGAAGGCACGCUGAUAUGUAGGUGAAGCGACUUGCUCGUGGAGCUGAAAUCAGUCGAAGAUACCAGCUGGCUGCAACUGUUUAUUAAAAACACAGCACUGUGCAAACACGAAAGUGGACGUAUACGGUGUGACGCCUGCCCGGUGCCGGAAGGUUAAUUGAUGGGGUUAGCGGUAACGCGAAGCUCUUGAUCGAAGCCCCGGUAAACGGCGGCCGUAACUAUAACGGUCCUAAGGUAGCGAAAUUCCUUGUCGGGUAAGUUCCGACCUGCACGAAUGGCGUAAUGAUGGCCAGGCUGUCUCCACCCGAGACUCAGUGAAAUUGAACUCGCUGUGAAGAUGCAGUGUACCCGCGGCAAGACGGAAAGACCCCGUGAACCUUUACUAUAGCUUGACACUGAACAUUGAGCCUUGAUGUGUAGGAUAGGUGGGAGGCUUUGAAGUGUGGACGCCAGUCUGCAUGGAGCCGACCUUGAAAUACCACCCUUUAAUGUUUGAUGUUCUAACGUAGGCCCCUUAUCGGGGUUGCGGACAGUGUCUGGUGGGUAGUUUGACUGGGGCGGUCUCCUCCUAAAGAGUAACGGAGGAGCACGAAGGUUGGCUAAUCCUGGUCGGACAUCAGGAGGUUAGUGCAAUGGCAUAAGCCAGCUUGACUGCGAGCGUGACGGCGCGAGCAGGUGCGAAAGCAGGUCAUAGUGAUCCGGUGGUUCUGAAUGGAAGGGCCAUCGCUCAACGGAUAAAAGGUACUCCGGGGAUAACAGGCUGAUACCGCCCAAGAGUUCAUAUCGACGGCGGUGUUUGGCACCUCGAUGUCGGCUCAUCACAUCCUGGGGCUGAAGUAGGUCCCAAGGGUAUGGCUGUUCGCCAUUUAAAGUGGUACGCGAGCUGGGUUUAGAACGUCGUGAGACAGUUCGGUCCCUAUCUGCCGUGGGCGCUGGAGAACUGAGGGGGGCUGCUCCUAGUACGAGAGGACCGGAGUGGACGCAUCACUGGUGUUCGGGUUGUCAUGCCAAUGGCACUGCCCGGUAGCUAAAUGCGGAAGAGAUAAGUGCUGAAAGCAUCUAAGCACGAAACUUGCCCCGAGAUGAGUUCUCCCUGACCCUUUAAGGGUCCUGAAGGAACGUUGAAGACGACGACGUUGAUAGGCCGGGGGUGUAAGCGCAGCGAUGCGUUGAGCUAACCGGUACUAAUGAACCGUGAGGCUUAACCUUACAACGCCGAAGGUGUUU